rnacentral:rRNA from 1 species
AGUUUGAUCCUGGCUCAGAGUGAACGCUGGCGGCAGGCCUAACACAUGCAAGUCGAACGGCAGCACAGUAAGAGCUUGCUCUUAUGGGUGGCGAGUGGCGGACGGGUGAGGAAUACAUCGGAAUCUACUCUUUCGUGGGGGAUAACGUAGGGAAACUUACGCUAAUACCGCAUACGCCCUACGGGGGAAAGAUUUAUCGGGGAUGGAUGAGCCCGCGUUGGAUUAGCUAGUUGGUGGGGUAAAGGCCUACCAAGGCGACGAUCCAUAGCUGGUCUGAGAGGAUGAUCAGCCACAUUGGGACUGAGACACGGCCCAAACUCCUACGGGAGGCAGCAGUGGGGAAUAUUGGACAAUGGGCGCAAGCCUGAUCCAGCCAUGCCGCGUGAGUGAUGAAGGCCUUAGGGUUGUAAAGCUCUUUCACCGGAGAAGAUAAUGACGGUAUCCGGAGAAGAAGCCCCGGCUAACUUCGUGCCAGCAGCCGCGGUAA